rnacentral:sRNA from 1 species
UUAUGACAAAUUUGUGCGUAUCCGAUGGCU